rnacentral:lncRNA from 1 species
CUCAGAAGUAUUCCUGUUACGGAACCUCAAGAUUGAAGGUGGGAAAUGAACUUCUGAGAAGUCAUGAAAAGUCAAGAUAAUGCUGUAGGCAAAUGAUAAAGAUCUUACCAUGAAGACCAGAGUUGUAGAAGAAAAGGUAACUGUCCAUGAAAUCUUCACUGAAACUGCAUUAUGGCAUGAUUUAGAGGCCAAGAUCAUCCUGAAAGAAAAUCUGAAAUCCCUGCCUUUUGAUGGAAAGGUCUGAAUUAUUCACCAGCUGGUUAAUGGCAGGUAAUGAGAUCUCUUCACGCUACAGCCCUGUCAGUA